GUGCAAUCCACUUUCUCUGGUUGCGUUCUUAAAUCAUAACUAUCCCAAGAAUCUCGCGCAGCCUCGAUUUCCCUGGUGUUGGCGCAGUAUUCGCGCACCCCGGUUAAUCC
rnacentral:sRNA from 2 species